rnacentral:miRNA from 1 species
GCAGACACAUUCCAGCCAAUCAGCAGCAGACCCUCCCUCCCAGACCCUCCCACCUCCUGGACAGCUCACUAAGAAUGCAGCUUCACAAUGAAUGUAAAUGGAUGCUGUCCAGGAGGUGGGAGGGUCUGGGAGGGAGGGUCUGCUGCUGAUUGGCUGGAAUAUGUCUG